UGCAGAAUCCCGUGAACCAUCGAGUCUUUGAACGCAAGUUGCGCCCGAAGCCAUCCGGCUGAGGGCACGUCUGCCUGGGUGUCACGC
rnacentral:rRNA from 1 species